rnacentral:lncRNA from 1 species
UUAUGCCUAUAAUCCCAGCACUUUGGGAGGCCGAGGUAGGGUGAUCACUUGAGGUCAGGACUUUGAGACCAGCCUGGCCAACGUGGUAAAACCCUGUCUCUACUGAAAAUACAAAAAUUAGCUGGGAGUGGUGGGCGUGUAUCUGUAAUCCCAGCUACUCCGGAGGCUAAGGCAGAAGAAUCACUUGAACCUGGGAGGCAAAGGUUGCAGUGAGCCAAGAUCGUGUCACUGCACUCCAGCCCGGGGGACAGAGCAAGAUUCUGUCUUGAAAAAAAGAAAAAAGAAAAAAAGAAAGAUGGAACUGUAAGGAUGGAAGGAGCUUUAUUUCUUUAUUUUAUUUUAAGUUUUGAGACAGGGUCUCCCUCUAUUGCCCAGGCUGAAGUACAGUGGUGUGAUCAUGGCUCACUGCAGCCAGCUUUAAGCAAUCUUUCCACCUCAGCCUCCCGAGCAGCUGGGACUACAGGUGCACGUCAUGACACCUGGCUAAUUUUUUUUUUUUUUGAGACGCAGUUUCACUCUUGUCACCCAGGCUGAAGUACAAUGGCGUGAUCUCGGCUCACUGCAACCUCUGCCUCCCAGGUUCAAGCAAUUCUCCUGCCUCAGCCUCCCGAGUAGUUGGGAUCACAGGCGUGUACCACCACACCUGCCUAAUUUUUGUAUUUUUAGUAGAGAUGGGGUUUCACCAUGUUGGCCAGGCUGGUCUCAAACUCCUGAGCCCAGGUGAUCCACCCACCUCGGCCUCCCAAAGUGCUGGGAUUACAGGCAUGAGCCACCAUACCUGGACCUCACCUGGCUAAUUUUUAAAUUUUUUUGUAGAGACAAGGUCCUGCUAUGUUGCCCAGGCUGGUCUUGAACUCCUGGCCCCAAGUGAUCCUCCCACCUUGGCCUCCCAAAGUGUUGGGAUUACAGGUGUGAGCCAGCAUGACUGGCCCAGAAGGAGCUCAGAGAAGGCAUGAGGAGAGGGGAGGAGAGGGAGGUCAGGAGGAUACCUCUUCCACAGGGAGGCACAAAGGUGGGAGCAGCGGGUGCCCUAGGACUAAACAGCUGGCCUGGCAUGUGGGUGGAGCAAUGCUCCUUUCCGUCUCCCAGCUUGUCUGGAGAACCUGAUUUAAAAGCUGCUAGAGCCUCCUUUCAGGUCCAGGUAUGUGUGUGUGAGAGAGAGAAUUCCACGGGGGCGGAGGAGGUGGGAGAAUAAAGUCAGUCACGGUGGAACUUCUGCCCAAGCAGAGACAUCUUCAUGGUGGAUUUCAGAGAGGCAAGAGGGAGGCACCUGCAAGCUUCAAGAGCAGCUGGAGGAAGAGUAAAUUAGAGUCCCAGCCACCCCCACAUCUAUCUUCUACACCUGCUCCUUCAUUUUCCUUUCUCUGGAGGGCUGAGAGAGAUUUACUGGUCAAAAGGAAGAGCUCCUCACUUCGGGUUCAGGAAUCUUACUGAAGGAAAUGAAAUGGUCACAGAAAGAAGAGUCACUCGGGUAAUUUGGGAUGUUAUGAAGGAGGCUCUGCGUCUCUGAACUGUUGUCAGGCCCCACCAGGCUCUUCACUGUUUGGAGCCAGAUCUACGGAGCCAAACUGCCUUGACCUGCUUUCUGAGGAGGGGACAGGCAGCAAGUGCCGGACCUAGCCAGAUUCAGCCCGCAGAAGGUGUUCCAGACUCCAAGCAGCCUGCUGGCCUAGCUCCAGGCCCAGGUGGCUGCAGACUCCACAAUGGGUGACUCAGGUAAGCUGUGCUGGACAAACAAGCCAGUGUUCUCAGCCCAGCAGGGUGAUGCCUGUCAUAAGCUUUCCUGUCGUCAUUGUACCGCCAUUUCCUGAGGGUGGCCUUGCCAGGCCCGGAGCCAGGGUCCAUGGAGACUGGUAGGAAUGUGGUUAUCUUGGUUUAUGUCUUGUUGCCAAGGUGCUUCCCAAUGCUUCUAAAGCUGGGCUUGGCGCUGAUCCACCAGCACCUGUGCUGUCUGAUGGUGGCAUGGAGGCCGCUGGGCUGAAAGAGGCCUACUGAGACCACAGACAGUCUGGUGAGGAGAUACUGGUAUGUGUCUUUCUCAUGAUCCUAACACCUAUAGUUUUGGUGCUCCCUUCCUUCAGGAGUCCCAAAAGACCAGGCAAGCUGGAGACACUUGGCCAGAGAGGCAACUGGGCUUAAACAGCCAGCUUAAACAAACAGCUACUAUUUCCUGAGCACUUCUCAUGUGCCAGGCACUGCUCUAAGCACUUCACAUAUGCCAAUGAAUUCUCAAAACAUUCCUGUGACACAGCUACUAGUAUUAUCCCUAAUUUACAGAUGAGGAAGCUGAGGCUGAGUCAUAGGUUCAGAAACACACAGCUGGUGACCAGUGAAUCCAGGAUCUGUACCCAGGCUAUGGAACCUAGAGCCUGCUAGAUCCACCUGCCAAGCUACCUGACCUAGAGCUGGUGUUUUUUUUUUUGUCCCCCUUUAUUUUUCUUUUUUAUAAACAAGGUGUCUUGCUCUGCCACCCAGACUGGAGUUCAGUGGUGCAAUUAUAGCUCACUGCAGUCUCGAACUCCUGGGCUCAAGCGAUCCUCCCACUUCAGCCUCCCUAGUAUAAUGGGACUAUAGGCACGUGCCACCACUUCUGGCUAGUGAGCUGGUGCUCCUAACUCUCACAGGGUACUGCCUCUCUUCUGCUCUGUCAUGAUGACUGUAGUGCAAGAAGGGGACUCAGCAAGAAGCCUCAGGAUUCUAGGCGUGGCUCAGCCACAACCUGCUGUGUGAUCUUGGCCUUCACUCCCCACUCUGGCCUUCAGACUCCUCAGGGAUUAGACCAAGUAGUCUACAACUCUGCUUCCAGUUCUGUGGCUCUGACUCACGUGGAAACAGCAGUGGGGAAAGGCCCUAUCCCUUAGCCCCACCGGAAGUGUCUACUGCUGAUUACCAAGAACAGCCUCACGGGCUUUUGAGAAGGGCAGGGAGGAUCAACUCCUGACCUGGUGACACUGAUGGAGCAAAGCUGCUUCCCCACUCCACACCUCAGUUUCCCCACUCCUUCCAGUGGAGAUAAUGACCUCUGUGUGCUCAGUGCUACUGUGAGUCAGGGUUAAUUAGCAUUAGUCAUAGACUUGGGAAUCCUCACAAGAAAAGGGUCAUCUGGUGGGUCUGGGCUGUGCCCUGGCUGUGAUGAGACACCACUCAUGCCCCUGUGAGUGUGUCAUCAUGCUUCAUUAGUGGCUUGCCUAACUUUGCAGGUCGGCCCUGGGGUGGCCCAGCCCUGAGUGCGGGUGCUGAGAUCAGCCAAAGGAUGACACCUGGGGAGGGCUGCAUGUGUCCCAGGGUGGCUGCCAAUGGCUCACAGUCCCCUGGAUUUCCCUUUCGGUUGACUUCCCAUUCAAUCGGGUUCUUAUCAUUGCUACUCGAGCCACUAUUCCUGGAUGCAAGGCCCCAACUCUGACCUUAAAUUUAGAGGUUUUUUUUUCCUUCUCUGUCUCCUCAAUAAAUACCCAUUCUCAUUUCUGUCUCUCUGCUGACUGUUUCAAUGCUUUCAGUUUCUUUCUGUUUCCAUCACCGCACUUGGUAGAGCUUAAGUGGGGUUAGGGGAAAGACCCUGUAACAAAAUAAGGACAAAGUAAGAAUGAUGAUGUCUUGUGUUGGCAAGUCCAGCUAGGUAAGCCAGAAGUGGAACAUGGGGGACAUCUAGUGGCCGUAGUGGGUACUGCUAGCAUUCUUGCCUGGCACCGAGGUCACAUUCUUGAACUUUUUUUUUUUUUUUUUUUUUUUUUUUUUCUGAGACAGGGUCUUGCGCUAUCUCCCAGGCUGGAGGGCAGUGGUGUGAUCACAGCUCACGGCAGCCUUGACUUCCCAGGCUUAAGGGAUCCUCGCACCUCAGCCUCCUGAGGAGCUGGGACUACAGGUGCACGCCACCACACCUGGCUUUUUUUUUUUUUUUUUUUUUUGGUAGAGACGGGGUUUCCCUAUGUUGUCUACUCUGGUCUUGAACUCCUGGGCUCAAACAAUCUGCCUGCCUUGGCCUCCCAAAGUGCUGGGAUUACAGGCAUAAGCCAUCACGCCUGGCCUCAUACCUGAACUUGAUUCUCAAGUUGGCUACAGUGACUUGCCCCAGCUCUUGGAGACUUGGGAGAUGGCACGAUCCUUAGGAGGGGAGAUUUUCUUAUCACUUAAUAGCUGAUAAAUUGCAUUUCCCUUGACAUCUGGUUUCUCUGGAUCUACAGAAGAAAGGUCUCAGGCUGGGCACGGUGGCUCACGCCUGUAAUCCCAGCACUUUGGGAGGCUGAGGCGGGUGGAUCCUUGAAGUCAGGAGUUCAAGACCAGCCUGGCCAACAUGGUGAAACCCCAUCUCUACUAAAAACACAAAAAUUAGCUGGGCGGUAGUGGCAUAUGCCUGUAAUCCCAGCUACUCAGGAGGCUGAGGGAGGAGAAUUGCUUGAGCCUGGGAGGUGGAGGUUGCAGUGAGCCGAGAUCCCACCACUGCACUCCAGCCUGGGCGACAGAGACCCUCCCUGUCUCAAAAAUAAAAAAAGGAAAAAAAAUCAGUCCAGCAUGGUGGUGGGCACCUGUAGUUCCAGCUACUACGGAGGCUGAGGCAGAAUCACUUGAACCCAGGAGGCAGAGGUUGCAGUGAGCUGAGAUUGCAGUAUUGCACUCCAGCCUGGGCAACAGAGCAAGAUUGUCUCAAAACAAAAACAAAAACAAACAACCCAAGUAACAAUGGAAUUAAACAUCGUCAUGCAUGUAUAACUAUGUCCUUGGUUAAAGGCAGGCAGUGGGGUCUGCCUUGGAGGCUGAUGGGCUGAGUUUGAAUCCCGGCCCUCACUUACUGGGCUGUGUGACCCUGAACAAAGUAAUUAACUUAUGCUUUUGUUUCCUCAUUUGUAAAAAUGGAACAGUAAUUAUACCUUCCUCAUAGGACUGCUAUGAGGCUUAAAUAAGAUAAAAUGCUUAGACCAGUGCUUGGCAAACAAUCUGUACUUACAAGUGAUAGCUAUUUGCAGCAGUAGUAAAAUCAAGUUUCAGAGGUUCUCCUGCUCAAGACUGAUUCCCCACAUUUCAGUAGGAGGUAGACUCCAGCUGCAGUCUUGGUUUCGCUAUCACUUUUUUUUUGAGAUGCAGUCUCCCUCUGUCACCCAGGCUGGAGUGCAGUGGCGCGAUCUCAGCUCACUGGAACCUCCGCCUCCCGGGUUCAAGUGAUUCUCCUGCCUCAGCUUCCCAAAUAGCUGGGACUCCAGGCACCCAUCACCACGCUCGG